rnacentral:rRNA from 1 species
CCUACGGGUGGCAGCAGUGAGGAAUAUUGGUCAAUGGGCGCGAGCCUGAACCAGCCAAGUCGCGUGAAGGAUGACUGCCCUACGGGUUGUAAACUUCUUUUAUAAAGGAAUAAAGUGCGGCACGUGUGCCUUUUUGUAUGUACUUUAUGAAUAAGGAUCGGCUAACUCCGUGCCAGCAGCCGCGGUAAUACGGAGGAUCCGAGCGUUAUCCGGAUUUAUUGGGUUUAAAGGGAGCGUAGGUGGGUUGUUAAGUCAGUUGUGAAAGUUUGCGGCUCAACCGUAAAAUUGCAGUUGAUACUGGCAGGCUUGAGUACAGUUGAGGUAGGCGGAAUGCGUGGUGUAGCGGUGAAAUGCUUAGAUAUCACGCAGAACUCCGAUUGCGAAGGCAGCUUACUAAACUACCACUGACGUUGAUGCACGAAAGUGUGGGUAUCAAACAGGAUUAGAUACCCUGGUAGUC